AACUAAAUUGUUAGGUGGCGGACGGGUGAGUAACACGUUGGAACCUCGACCCAAAGUAAGGAAUAACUGCCCGAAAGGGUAGCUAAUACCUUAUAAUAUCCAAUUUAUUUGGAUUAAAGCUUUAUGUGCUUUGGGAGGGGCCUGCGUCUGAUUAGCUAGUUGGUGAGGUAAAAGCUCACCAAGGCGACGAUCAGUAGCUGGUUUGAGAGGACGACCAGCCACACUGGGACUGAGAUACGGCCCAGACUCCUACGGGAGGCAGCAGUAAGGAAUCUUCCACAAUGGGGCAACCCUGAUGGAGCAAUGCCGCGUGCAGGAUGAAGCGUUUCGGCGUGUAAACUGCUUUUAUCACCGAAGAUUAUGACGGUAGGUGAAGAAUAAGGACCGGCUAACUACGUG
rnacentral:rRNA from 1 species